CUGUCAUGGUCGCUGCUGCAUUGGAAACGAAGGCAGCCAGCAGCAGCACAGAGCAGCGGGGAAACGGCAGGCGGACAGCGGUAGGAACAGCUGGAGCGGUGCGGUGACUUCUUCGGGCUGCGUCAAACCAGCUGGAGAGCUGAUGGAGCCGAACGAAGGACCAUCGGUAAAUAUUGGGCACUAUUACUACAUCGUCCCAGCUGAAUACUUCCAGUUUGCUCACUUUGACUGUCACUGUUCAGCCUGACUCCCACUCAGUGUCUUCUGGUAGUGCACUGCUUCAGAAAACUCUGCAGUGUUUGUAGAUCUGAAUCCUGUCUCCUGUUCCUGUGUACACUUAUAUCUACAGUAAAAUUGGAUAAAGGAUUAUUUUAUCAACAAUGUUCAAUUAUCAAUAAUUACUUUUGUCAUGAAUGUCAGUGAAUUUAUGACACAGAUCUCAACCGUGGAUCAACAAGUAGCUGAAAAACAUCUUAUGGCCACAGUGUGGCAGUAUUGGUUAAUAAAUAAAUAAAAGUCA